rnacentral:rRNA from 1 species
UGGGGAAUAUUGGACAAUGGGCGCAAGCCUGAUGCAGCCAUGCCGCGUGUAUGAAGAAGGCCUUCGGGUUGUAAAGUACUUUCAGCGAGGAGGAAGGCGGUAAGGUUAAUAACCUUAUCGAUUGACGUUACUCGCAGAAGAAGCACCGGCUAACUCCGUGCCAGCAGCCGCGGUAAUACGGAGGGUGCAAGCGUUAAUCGGAAUUACUGGGCGUAAAGCGCACGCAGGCGGUCUGUCAAGUCGGAUGUGAAAUCCCCGGGCUCAACCUGGGAACUGCAUUCGAAACUGGCAGGCUAGAGUCUUGUAGAGGGGGGUAGAAUUCCAGGUGUAGCGGUGAAAUGCGUAGAGAUCUGGAGGAAUACCGGUGGCGAAGGCGGCCCCCUGGACAAAGACUGACGCUCUGGUGCGAAAGCGUGGGGAGCAAACA